AUUGUUUUCUUUUGUUUUAGAGAUAUAACAGAGAGAACAAUGUAUAUAUUUUGCUUGGUUCUCCACAAAUUUUGAAUCAAAUAUUUUUGUCCUAAUAAAUUUUUAUUAUUUCAAAAUUUUUUACAAAUAUUAUUGUCAGACAAAUUGAUCUUCCCAUUACUUUUAAUAAAGUUUUUGAAGACUAAAGUGUUUCCUUUGAACCAAAAUUUGGUUGAUUACUCUUUCCUAAAUAUGCAAGCAUUUCCAUCUGGUUGGCCAUGAAAGCUUUCAUUUUCUUUCUAGUAUCAUUGUGAAUGAUCUUGGAAAUAAAACAGUUGUGAAAUUACUGAGAACAGUGACAAGGAAUAGUCUCUCACUCUUUCUCUAAUUUAUUUUCUAUUUUUCCCUUUGGAAAAUAAUAGAUUAGGUAUUUCCUUUGCUUGGAAUGUGGAAGAGAGUACAUCUUUGUGUCGUUUUAUUCUUUAUUAUAACAAAUUUCCUCGUGUUCUUUUCUUGUUUGAGAAUUGAGAUUAAUUAAUCACUCUGGUUCAAAACUAUUGCUUCUAUUGUUAUUCAAAUCCUUCAAAAUUUAUUGUUUGUAUCUACACAAUUUUCAUGAUGUGCUGCUACUAGAUCCAUUGAUGAGUUCUGCACUGUUCAUUGCGGUUUUCUUACCUAACAAGGUUGAAGGGUCACUGCUCAUUUUGUAUUGUUGGUAAACUAGUCAUGAUUAAAUUUGUUUGUUGUCAUCUGGUAGAGUAAUUUCUUUUCUAAUGAUAUCUGUUUAUAGGAGAAAGGGUAGUCCCAAAUUCAAAGUAAAAAAACAAAAAAGAAAGGAAUUUCUUCUCUGAUAUUAAAUAAUUUUCUUGUCAGUUCUUUUUAUAUGUAUAAAAUCCAAUCUUAUUGUGUGUGGAUGCACAUAAUUUCUUCUACUUUUUGGGAUUCCCCACUUAGUCUUUCCCAUUGUAUUUUGUAAAGCAAAACUCUGCCAGUAUCAACAAUUGUAUUAACCUUAUUGAUUUAUUGCUUCCGUUGUCUCUCAUUCAAGAGUGAAAGAAAUAUAUAUUUUCUUUAUUUCCUUGAUCUGAUUCUAGAAUAUGUUGCAAUGAUUACUUAUUUUAACAAUUUAUAUGUAUAUAUGGCCAUUUGUAACUAUUUAGUUGGGCCAUGCUGGGGUAGCUAUAGCAUUUGGAUAUCUUAAAUGCUAGCUUGCCUACUUGUGUUAUCUUCUCUCUUUUUUUUUUUUGGGAACAUCAUAACAUCAAGAGUAUCUUUUGAUUUGCACUUCCCAUCAUUUGGUUAUGACCUGCGUUUGGGCUAUGUCUUGGUCACCAUAUUCUUCUGAUGAUUAAAGCUGAAUGCUUUCCUAAUAGGCUUCUGUAUGAUCUAUGAAAGCAUUGAAGAUAGUCUAUAAACAAAAUAAAAUGAUGACGAAGAAGAGAAAACACAGAGGACUGGGGUGAAAGAAAUGCUGAAGGGGAGGGCUACAACAAGGAGAAAAUCCAUAUAGAAGAUGAUUUUACUGAUCCGGAGCCUGAUUAUGAGGAAAGCAAAGCAGAAACGGACUCAACAAUUGGGUAUGUUAAGGUAAAGCCAUUUUCCAAAUGGACCACGAAUAAAUUUUCUUCAGUGCCAUUUUCUUUUUAAUGGGUAGAGCCACAAGGUGGUUGAAGAAAUUUUAGAUAUGUGAUGAAGUGAGUUACCUCUGUGUGCUUUGUCUUCCUUAGAACCUACUACCAACAUUUGUAACAUUUUUUGUGUUCCCUGUGUUUCUUGAAUUUAUUGCUUGGUGAGUCUAUGGUAUGCUCCUAUGUGUCCUUGAGUUCUUUGUUGCUUCUUUCUAGCAUUCAUUACUUCAAUCUUCCAUACUUGCUUCUUUGUCUUCCUAUGUAGAUUUUUUUUUUCUCCUUUUCAAUCUCGGCCAUGCAUGUUAUUGUCAAGCUUAGGAAUCAUGUUUCCCGGUAAGCAAUUCUUCGAUUUCGGAUUGAUGUCUUAACUCUUGCCCAUUUUUUCUUUCUAUUUUUUGUUCGAUAUAAACAUUGAGUUGAUUGUGA